GAUGAAGAACGUAGCGAAAUGUGAUACUUGGUGUGAAUUGCAGAAUCCCGUGAACCAUCGAGUCUUUGAACGCAAGUUGCGCCCGAAGCCACUAGGCCGAGGGCACGCCUGCCUGGGCGUCACACGUCGUUGCCCCCCCAUCUACUCCUUCGGGAUUGCGGGGGGGCGGAUGAUGGCCUCCCGUGCGCCUAGCCGCGCGGUUGGCAUAAAUACCAAGUCCUCGGCGACGCACGCCACGACAAUCGGUGGUUGCGAAACCUCGGUUGCCCGUCGUGUGCGUUCGUCGCGCAUCGAGGGCUCGAAAAAAUGCUCGGCUUCGGCUCGGCUUUCAACGCGACCCCAGGUCAGGCGGGGUUACCCGCUGAAUUUAAGCAUAUCAAUAAGCGGAGGA
rnacentral:misc_RNA from 1 species